UCGCUGGGAACACAUGGCAGCACUAUACAGGUUGAAACAGCAUUCAAUCUGCAUCAAGUUGUUAUCAGAGCACUUUCCUUGGACCUAUGCAUCACAAAUCACAAAUUUCUUCUUCCAUUUUACCUGAAAAUCUCCUCAAAUUCCUUCACCCACCCCCCCGCCCCCCCCAACCUAAACCCUGAAUUCUUUGAAAAAUUUCCUCAAAACACCAUCUUUGCUUCUGAAAAUGCAAGCCUUUAGGACACAAAAAAGGAAGACACCAAUUUUUGGAAUCUAGAAGAAUUUGAAGGCAAAUAGUGAAGACAGCACCUAG
rnacentral:misc_RNA from 1 species